ACGCCACGUGAUUUAGGUUUAUUUGCUACUCUUGAUUAACUCUCAUGAUGACAAGAAAGUAUGAUGGC
ensembl:snoRNA ZK484.9 ncRNA